rnacentral:lncRNA from 1 species
CUUUUAUAUCAAAUAGUAGUAAAAUAGAUAGACACAAGGUGGACCAUAGCAAAAUAUGCUCCCAGGUUUAACGGGUUUCAGCAACAAGACGCCCAAGAACUUCUGGCUUUUCUCUUGGAUGGUCUUCAUGAAGAUCUUAAUCGAGUCCAUGAAAAGCCAUAUGUGGAACUGAAGGACAGUGAUGGGCGACCAGACUGGGAAGUAGCUGCAGAGGUUUGUCAGUUUUGAGUUUCUAAUGCCUGAGACAACCAUCUAAGAAGAAAUAGAUCAAUUGUUGUGGAUUUGUUCCAUGGGCAGCUAAGAUCUCAAGUAAAAUGCAAGACAUGUGGGCAUAUAAGUGUCCGAUUUGACCCUUUCAAUUUUUUGUCUUUGCCACUACCAAUGGACAGUUAUAUGCACUUAGAAAUAACAGUGAUUAAGUUAGAUGGUACUACCCCUGUACGGUAUGGACUAAGACUGAAUAUGGAUGAAAAGUACACAGGUUUAAAAAAACAGCUGAGUGAUCUCUGUGGACUUAAUUCAGAACAAAUCCUUCUAGCAGAAGUACAUGGUUCCAACAUAAAGAACUUUCCUCAGGACAACCAAAAAGUACGACUCUCAGUGAGUGGAUUUUUGUGUGCAUUUGAAAUUCC